UACGGGGGGGGCAAGCGUUGUUCGGAAUUACUGGGCGUAAAGGGCUCGUAGGCGGCCAACUAAGUCCGACGUGAAAUCCCCAGGCUUAACCUGGGAACUGCGUCGGAUACUGGAUGGCUUGAAUUCGGGAGAGGGAUGCAGAAUUCCAGGUGUAGCGGUGAAAUGCGUAGAGAUCCGGAGGAACACCAGUGGCGAAGGCGACACGCUGGGCCGUACCUGACGCUAAAGCGCGACAGCAUGGGGAGCAAACGGG
rnacentral:rRNA from 1 species